AUGCCAUUGUACAGAACACUGGUGAGACCUCACUUGGAGUAUUGUACACAGUACUGGAGACCGUAUCUUCAGAAGGAUAUUGAUACCUUAGAGAGGGUUCAGAGAAGGGCUACUAAACUGGUUCAUGGAUUGUGGGAUAAAACUUACUAGGAAAGGUUAAAGGAUCUUAACAUGUAUAGCUUGGAGGAAAGACGAGACAGGGGGGAUAUGAUAGAAACAUUUAAAUAUAUAAAGGGAAUCAACACAGUAAAGGAGGAGACCAUAUUUAAAAGAAGAAAAGCUACCACAACAAGAGGACAUAGUCUUAAAUUAGAG